rnacentral:rRNA from 1 species
GCUCAAAGAAAGUCCAAUCAAAAUACAAAAAUCCCAAAACACAAAACAAAUCAUUUGACUAAUUAAGUAGAUGCGAUCGAACAAUAAACCAGGCACGAUAACGAUAGUACCGCAAGGGAAAUAAACUCAAGCAUAAAAAAGCAAAGAUUAAACCUUGUACCUUUUGCAUCAUGGUUUAGCAAGAAUACAGGACAAGAUGACCACAAGCCCCCGCCCCCGAAACCAAGUGAGCUACUUCAGAGCAGUCUACAGGACGAACCCUUCUCUGUAGCAAAAGAGUGGGAAGACUCAGAAGUAGAGGUGAAAUGCCUAUCGAACUUGGAGAUAGCUGGCUGCCCAAAAAUGAAUAUUAGUUCUACUUUAGAUUCAACCAACACUAAAUAGUACUCUAAAGGAAUUCAAUAGGGGUACAGCUCUAUUGAAACAGGAUACAACCUGACAUUGUGAGCAAGUCAAACCACUUAAAACCAGUAGGCUUUAAAGCAGCCACCUAAAAAAAUAUCGUUCAAGAAUCAUGACAUAAAAAUAACUAACAUUUUCACAUACUCCAAUAUAACCUAAGGGCCAAUCUAUAAAAAUAGAUAAGCCUAUGCUAAAACUAAUAAUAAGAAACACUUCUCUAAGCACAAGUCUUCGCUAGAAACAGAAAAUCUACUAGCAAUUAACAGACCAUAAGAGGUAUAUAAAAAAACACUUCACAAUUUAUUAACAGACUGUAAAACCGACACAGGGGUGCAAAAAAGAAAGAUAAAACAUUACAAAAGGAACUCGGCAACCAAUGGCUCCAACUGUUUACCAAAAACAUAACCUUUAGCUAAAACCAGUAUUAAAGGCAAUGCCUGCCCAGUGAGAACAUCUUUAACGGCCGCGGUACCCUAACCGUGCAAAGGUAGCGUAAUCAUUUGUCUAUUAAUUGUAGACCAGUAUGAAAGGCCACAUGAGAGCCAAACUGUCUCUUGUAAUAAAUCAAUUAAACUGAUCUCCUAGUACAAAAGCUAGGAUAAACCUAUAAGACCAGAAGACCCUGUGAAGCUUAAACUAACCUAUUAAAUCAUAUAAUAGCUACUUUCGGUUGGGGCGACCUUGGAACAAAACAAAACUUCCAAACACAAAUUGGAACUCCCAAUAAAAAUAGGCUAACAAGCCACAGUACGACCCAGUAUAACUGAUUAUUGAACCAAGUUACUCCAGGGAUAACAGCGCUAUCUUCUUCAAGAGCCCAUAUCAAAAAGAAGGUUUACGACCUCGAUGUUGGAUCAGGACACCCAAAUGGUGCAGCCGCUAUUAAAGGUUCGUUUGUUCAACGAUUAACAGUCCUACGUGAUCUGAGUUCAGACCGGAGCAAUCCAGGUCAGUUUCUAUCUAUAAAACGCCAUCUCUAGUACGAAAGGACCGAAAUGGCAAAGCCAAUACCACAAGCACGCUUUAGCAUAAAAACAUGAAACAACUCAAUAUUAAAAACCACUACAAAAUCAAGCCUAGAAAAGGCUAAUUAAGGACACCACUAAGCCUUA